rnacentral:rRNA from 1 species
CAGCAGCCGCGGUAAUACGUAGGGUGCGAGCGUUAAUCGGAAUUACUGGGCGUAAAGCGUGCGCAGGCGGUUAUAUAAGACAGAUGUGAAAUCCCCGGGCUCAACCUGGGACCUGCAUUUGUGACUGUAUAGCUAGAGUACGGUAGAGGGGGGUGGAAUUCCGCGUGUAGCAGUGAAAUGCGUAGAUAUGCGGAGGAACACCGAUGGCGAAGGCAAUCCCCUGGACCUGUACUGACGCUCAUGCACGAAAGCGUGGGGAGCAAACAGGAUUAGAUACCCCCGUAGUCCCUGUCUCUUAUAC